GUCUAUGGCCACCCUGAAUGCACCCUAACUCGUCUGAUCUCAGAAACUAAGCAGGGUCGCGCCUGGUUAGUACUUGGAUGGGAGAAAGAACUGAAGGAGCUGAAGGGG
rnacentral:rRNA from 1 species